rnacentral:rRNA from 1 species
GAUGAACGCUGGCGGCGUGCCUAAUACAUGCAAGUCGAGCGAACAGACGAGGAGCUUGCUCCUCUGACGUUAGCGGCGGACGGGUGAGUAACACGUGGGUAACCUACCUAUAAGACUGGGAUAACUUCGGGAAACCGGAGCUAAUACCGGAUAAUAUAUUGAACCGCAUGGUUCAAUAGUGAACGACGGUUUUGCUGUCACUUAUAGAUGGAUCCGCGCCGCAUUAGCUAGUUGGUAAGGUAACGGCUUACCAAGGCAACGAUGCGUAGCCGACCUGAGAGGGUGAUCGGCCACACUGGAACUGAGACACGGUCCAGACUCCUACGGGAGGCAGCAGUAGGGAAUCUUCCGCAAUGGGCGAAAGCCUGACGGAGCAACGCCGCGUGAGUGAUGAAGGUCUUCGGAUCGUAAAACUCUGUUAUUAGGGAAGAACAAAUGUGUAAGUAACUAUGCACGUCUUGACGGUACCUAAUCAGAAAGCCACGGCUAACUACGUGCCAGCAGCCGCAGUAA